AACGCUAGCUACAGGCUUAACACAUGCAAGUCGAGGGGCAGCAUGGAACUUAGCUUGCUAAGUUCUGAUGGCGACCGGCGCACGGGUGCGUAACGCGUAUCCAACCUUCCCGUUACUCAGGGAUAGCCUUCCGAAAGGGAGAUUAAUACCUGAUGGUGUUUGAAUUCCGCAUGUCAUUCAAACUAAAGAUUUAUCGGUAACGGAUGGGGAUGCGUGACAUUAGAUAGUAGGCGGGGUAACGGCCCACCUAGUCUACGAUGUCUAGGGGUUCUGAGAGGAAGGUCCCCCACACUGGAACUGAGACACGGUCCAGACUCCUACGGGAGGCAGCAGUGAGGAAUAUUGGUCAAUGGUCGGAAGACUGAACCAGCCAAGUAGCGUGAAGGAUGAAGGUUCUAUGGAUUGUAAACUUCUUUUAUACGGGAAUAAAACCUCCCACGUGUGGGAGCUUGUAUGUACCGUAUGAAUAAGCAUCGGCUAACUCCGUGCCAGCAGCCGCGGUAAUACGGAAGGUCCGGGCGUUAUCCGGAUUUAUUGGGUUUAAAGGGAGCGUAGGCCGGAGAUUAAGCGUGUUGUGAAAUGUAGACGCUCAACGUCUGCACUGCAGCGCGAACUGGUUUCCUUGAGUACGCACAAAGUGGGCGGAAUUCGUGGUGUAGCGGUGAAAUGCUUAGAUAUCACGAAGAACUCCGAUUG
rnacentral:rRNA from 1 species